rnacentral:lncRNA from 1 species
UUCGAAAUAAGAUUGACGACAACAAAGUAGAUGUCAUGAAGAGAAAAUGAUUCGACUUGAUAUGCAAAAAUAUGUAAUAUUUGAAAAAAUCAAGAUAAAAGUUUCCUUCCUCGUUUAAUACCCUGUCCUGUGUCAUCGCAAGAUGAACACUUAACCAUGUAUGGCACCAGAUGUUUCAAAGGAAAAGGAAUUCCUAUAUAUAUUUAUAGAUUGAUAUCUUCCUGUUCUCCUUUCGUCCUCUCAUUCUCCCUUCUUCAUUUUCCUUCUGAUGUGUCCCGCUUCAGUGGUGUCUUUGUGGGGUGUUAGUACCAAUUGUGGGAGGUCGUGGGUUCGAACCCCGGCAGAUCGUGUCCAACCAAAGACCUUUAAAUUGGUAUAUGGUGCUUCCUCGCUUAGCACGCAACAUUUAGAAAGUUAGAUGAAAGACUGGUCAGUUCGGAGUCAGAAUAUUGUGUGCGGGUAGUGAGGCGUGUCUUACUUUAAAAUCCGGCUCAGCGUGUUGGUCUAGUACAAAGCAGGGUUGAUAUUUCUAUUACAAUAACAUGUUCUCGUCCUGAAUAUACAUUGUAUUUGCCGCUGGACGUUAAGCAGCAAUCCCUCAUCAUCUCAUUUUGUCUUUUUGUCUCUUCAUUUUUUUUUUCAUUCUUCAAUUCAUCGUUCAUUUUUUUUUCUAUUUCCACUCAAACCUUUUCUCAAGUUUUUCAUUUGCCGCCUCUGCCACUUAUAUAUAGAGAUGAUGAAAGUAUCUGAAAUAAACAAUGUCAUAUUCAAGUAACUCAUAUUCCAUCUGUAAUGAUGCUAUUGUUUCACAACUGCUCUCGUAUCAAAAUUAUUUUAAAAAUCUAAAACAUUCCGUCGCAAGUGUGUGAUUUCUCAGAUAAAACUGACACCAAAACGUCUUCCUUCUCACCUACC